GACGAACGCUGGCGGCGUGCCUAAUACAUGCAAGUCGAGCGGAAGUUGGAGAGCUUGCUCUUCAACUUUAGCGGCGGACGGGUGAGUAACACGUGGGCAACCUGCCCUGCAGAUCGGGAUAACUCCGGGAAACCGGUGCUAAUACCGAAUAGUUUUCGCCACCUCCUGGUGGCGUACGGAAAGACGGUUUCGGCUGUCACUGCAGGAUGGGCCCGCGGCGCAUUAGCUAGUUGGUGGGGUAACGGCCCACCAAGGCAACGAUGCGUAGCCGACCUGGGAGGGUGAUCGGCCACACUGGGACUGAGACACGGCCCAGACUCCUACGGGAGGCAGCAGUAGGGAAUCUUCCGCAAUGGACGAAAGUCUGACGGAGCAACGCCGCGUGAGUGACGAAGGUUUUCGGAUCGUAAAACUCUGUUGUGAGGGAAGAACAAGUACCACGUAACUACUGGUACCUUGACGGUACCUCACCAGAAAGCCACGGCUAACUACGUGCCAGCAGCCGCAGUAAUAC
rnacentral:rRNA from 1 species